GGGCAGGUGAAGCUCGUUAGCGAGAGCAGUUCACCUAGGAGAAGGAAAACUCUGACCACAAACACGGGCAGGUGGAGCUCGUUAGCCGUGGUAGGCAAUCUGCCUAGGAGAGCAAACUCCGAACAAAAACCCGGGCAGGUUGGGCUCGUGAGCCGUCAUAGGCAAUACACCUAGGAGAGCAAACUCCGAACAAAAACCCGGGCAGGUUGGGCUCGUGAGCCGUCAUAGGCAAUACACCUAGGAGAGCAAACUCCGAAUUAAAACCCGGGCAGGUGGAGGUCGUUAGCCGUGGUAGGCAGUCUGCCUAGGAGAGGGACAACUCCGAACAACAAACCCGGGCAGGUGGAGGUCGUUAGCCGUGGUAGGCAGUCUGCCUAGGAGAGGGACAACUCCGAACAACAAACCCGGGCAGGUGGAGGUCGUUAGCCGUGGUAGGCAGUCUGCCUAGGAGAGGGACAACUCCGAACAAAAAACACGGGCAGGUGGAGCUCGUUAGCGUGAGCAGUUCACCUAGGAGAGCAAACUCCGAUUACAAACCCGGGCAGGUGGAGCUCGUUAGCGUGAGCAGUUCACCUAGGAGAGCAAACUCCGAUUACAAACCCGGGCAGGUGGAGCUCGUUAGCGUAAGCAGUUCACCUAGGAGAGCAAACUCCGAUUACAAACCCGGGCAGGUGGAGCUCGUUAGCGUAAGCAGUUCACCUAGGAGAGCAAACUCCGAUUACAAACCCGGGUAGGUGGAGCUCGUUAGCGUAAGCAGUUCACCUAGGAGAGCAAACUCCGAUUACAAACCCGGGCAGGUGGAGCUCGUUAGCGUGAGCAGUUCACCUAGGAGAGCAAACUCCGAUCACAAACCCGGCCAGGUGGAGGUCGUUAGCCGUGGUAGGCAAUCUGCCUAGGAGAGGGACAACUCCGAACAAUAAACACGGGCAGGUUGGGCUCGUGAGCCGUCAUAGGCAAUACACCUAGGAGAGCAAACUCUGAAUAAAAACCCGGGCAGGUUGGGCUCGUGAGCCGUCAUAGGCAAUACACCUAGGAGAGCAAACUCCGAUUACAAACCCGGGCAGGUUGGGCUCGUGAGCCGUCAUAGGCAAUACACCUAGGAGAGCAAACUCCGAUUACAAACCCGGGCAGGUUGGGCUCGUGAGCCGUCAUAGGCAAUACACCUAGGAGAGCAAACUCUGAAUAAAAACCCGGACAGGUUGGGCUCGUGAGCCGUCAUAGGCAAUACACCUAGGAGAGCAAACUCCGAAUAAAAACCCGGGCAGGUGGAGGUCGUUAGCCGUGGUAGGCAGUCUGCCUAGGAGAGCAAACUCCGAACAACAAACCCGGGCAGGUGGAGGUCGUUAGCCGUGGUAGGCAAUCUGCCUAGGAGAAGGACAACUCCGAACAACAAACACGGGCAGGAGGGGGUCGUUAGCCGUGGUAGGCAGUCCUCCUAGGAGAAGGAAAACUCCGAAUUCAAACCAACACACACACACACACACACACCAGCCGGGCAGGUGGGGCUCGUUAUAGGCGUCGUAGACAAUCCACCAAGGGGAAUCAACAAUAAAAGGAUAAUAAAAGCGAACACACGAGAAGAAGAAUAUGAAAUCAGAACCGGACAAAAAAGGAUAAUAUAAGAUGGAACACCGAAUAAAGGAUAGUUAAGAACACAACAUCGAGAAAAGCAUAAGACACACGCGGAUCAUCCAGACUGAAACAGAAGACCAAAAAAUGGAUGGUAUAAAAAGAACGGAAAAAAGAUAACGUAAUAAGAACGCACAGAAAAUAACGUAGAAAUAAAACACCAAGAAAAGGAAAAUAAGGAAAAUACAGAAACAACAUCAUUGAUACCGCCGCUCCGUGGGCGGUAGGAGAAUGAAAUGACCCUUUUCGUAGACGCACAGUAUAAUGUGGUCCAAGCUGUCAACAAUAACAUUUACCGCCAGGACCACAAUCACGACGCUCGAAAACGCCCGCGUCUCUGAGCACUAAGCCGGGCAGCUGAACACUUCACUUAGCACCUAACGUUCAGCAUUGUAUUUCACUUACUAU